CGUAAGGACCGAGCGUUGUCCGGAAUCAUUGGGCGUAAAGGGUACGUAGGCGGGUCAUUAAGUUAGAAGUCAAAGGCUAUAGCUCAACUAUAGUAAGCUUCUAAAACUGGAGACCUUGAGUAAUGGAAGGGAAAGUGGAAUUCCUAGUGUAGCGGUGGAAUGCGCAGAUAUUAGGAGGAAUACCGGUGGCGAAGGCGACUUUCUGACCAUUAACUGACGCUGAGGUACGAAAGCGUGGGUAGCAAACAGGAUU
rnacentral:rRNA from 1 species